ensembl:lncRNA
UUUCCACCAAUCAGGGUUUUGCUUUCUGACUUUUUUCCGUUGUUUUUUUCCACAUACUUCCGCUCUUUUGAGAUCUUGUUUUCCAGGGUCUUGUGUUGCUUUUUGAGAGUUUUAUUCAGUCUGGUUGCAACUUUUUUAUCAGUCUUCAAUGAUUCGUAGUUUGCCUUACAGGCGUCAAGAUCUUUGAGACUGUUCAUUAGACUGAGGAUAUUCUCUUUCCAUUCAUUGUUCCUCAGCUCCAGGGCGUUUUUGUAUUCCCUCUGUGCGUCAUAGCCAGCCUUCCAGUCUUUUUCACGGAGUAGCUUGUUGGUGGCCUCCGUGCUGACCUUAAUCAACUGUCGCCGCUGCUCCUCCAGAACAGUCACCUGGCAUUUCAGUUGCGAUGCCAAAGAUUCUAUGGACGUGAGUUCUUCAUUGAAGCCCUGGAUUUGCUGUUUUAAAUUAUUGGUUGUUCUCUCCAAAGCGUCCCUACGGUGCAUUGCGUCCUCAUUUUGACGGCGUUGGUUUACAAGUUUCAGGUUUAUUUCGCUUUUCUCAUCUUGCAGAGCCGAAACCUGUAUUUCUAACUCCUGUGUCUCUGCAAUCAGUUCCUUAUUCUUAUAUUGCAGACUUUCGUAAUCCAAGUGAGUCGAAGCUGUUUCGGAGGCCAAGUUCUUCACCAAAGUCUUCUUCAUAUCAAGCUGAUGGGCGUCUCGUUUAUUGGCCUCAGAUAAAAGGUUACAUUCAUUGGUUACCUUUUGCAGUGUGGUCUCCAGGAGGUGAAUUUUUUGGUCAUACUCCUCAUUCUCCUUUGUUAUGGAUGCAGCGUUUGACUCCACAUGUUUUAAGUGCUCCAACCUUUUCCGCUGCAAUUCCACCUCUACUUCCAGCCUUUGAUGUCUAGAAGACAAAUGUUUGUUUAGUUCUUUUUGGCCGCUGUAGAUUGAUUCAAAAUGUUUAUGAUUUUUGACCUGAUCAAGGAGACUCUUUGCCUCUUUUUGAAGGGUUUCACAUUUUCUCCUAGCAAUGGCUUCCUCCUGCCUGUGAUUCUCAUAUUUAUCAUCUUUAACCUUCAAAGAUCCCCAUCCUUCAACGUGUAUUCUGCUCAAGUGAAUUUUCAUGCGCAUAGACUUAAGAUCUUUGCAGAUUUCGCUCAGGCUCAUAUGUUCUGCGUUGAACUGUUCAGAUGACCCUGCUGGCUCCUGGUUGGAAAUCGUCAGAUUCGUUUGCGCCAUUUCUCCUGUUUGAUUUAAUGUUGGGUAAAAUACUUCUGUGUACACAAUAAAACUUGAAAAGAGCGUUGUAUUGUCAGUGGUCAAAGGUUAUCAAUUGACGCAGGACUGAGCAGAAAGCGUGCAGCUCUCCAGAAGUCCAGAGAAGGUAUGAGGCCUAUAUGUAGAUUCCAACAUCAAAGGAUAUCAUGACGUCAAUGGCUGUUGCCAUGGCAACUCGGAACUACGUGGCUCUGACGUGCGAAACACAACAGCCAAUAGGAAAACACAACGAAAUUAACCUCUUACGGAGAGUGUAGGACCCUAUAAGCAGAGGACGGACCCUUCUGAUUGGACAGGCGGACUGUCUGUCAACAGGAAAUGAGGACUCGCUCGCUUGCUAGACCUUCAUUCCGCGCGAAAAUACGGCGAAAGAAAGAAUGUUUGUCGUCAAAAGUUGUUGGCGAACCAGCCGAUUUUUUGCAGUGGUUGUGGACAGAUACUUGGAAAAAGUCUGGAGUCUUUGGCUCAACCCACCAAUGGACCAACUUCAGUAUCACAGAAUGCUCCAUCCAACUCAACCCCAAGAUUUAAAACCUUUCUGGAAUACCGGAAGUAAAAAGGAGAGGAAAGGCAAAAGUUUUCCUUUGGCAAAAUGCAGGACAAGAAAAAGGAAAAGAGGAAAGUGCAGCCAUGUGAACCUGUGCAUGAAAGCAGUGCAAUACAGAGGAUAUCCGUCCAAGUACCUCCGGAUGUCCUGGAAUGGCGAGAACAUAUUACAGCAACUACACAGACCUGUAUGCGCCUAUCGUCAGUGAUGACGACGAAGAUCUAACUGUCAAACAAAAUAAUGAGGCAUCUCCUAGAACCAAUGCACACAAGUGCACCUGAAAUAAUUGCAAAUUUGGCGCUUGCCAUUGACCACAGCAAAGUCAGCAGAUUCCACGUGUCCAGAUCUAAUGUAUGGGAUGGUGCUGUCAGAGGUUUUCAGCGUUGCACGUACUCUGAGGAGAAUGACAUGUUUGUGAAGUUUACCGAUGACGCUGGCUCCCAUGAAGAAGGCCUAGACACCGGCGGGCCGAGGCGGGAAUUCCUCACGCUUCAGAUGAAUGAUCUGAUCUUUGACGGACCUCCAGAAAGCCGUUACCUGGUGUACAACUCUACAGAUUCAAAGAAGAACUUUUUGUUCGCACUCCAGCAGCAUCCGUGUGUGUUGGCCCCACUCUUGUGCCACUCUCAGACAAACCUUACAGCUGCCGACAUGGAAAGCCUGUUCACACCACUCCUCAGUCCAGCAGAAAGUAAUAGUCAGCAGAAAGAAGGCAAAGCUCUUGGAUUUUGGGCAGAUUUUCUUCUUGAUUGGGAAGGUUUGUUAUAGCUUUUUUAUAUGGUGUUUGUAAAAAGUGAACCAGCCCAGUCACCUCCAGUCAGCAUCGGCGUUGUUCCUGGUUCAUCAUCAGGUUGCUGCUAUUCCUUUCACCACCACCACCAGUGUCUGGACUCCAGGAGGAUUAAGCCCAGUGUGUAAUAAAGUAUUAUUCUAUUAAA